rnacentral:rRNA from 1 species
GAUGAACGCUGGCGGCGUGCCUAAUACAUGCAAGUCGAGCGAAUGGAUUAAGAGCUUGCUCUUAUGAAGUUAGCGGCGGACGGGUGAGUAACAAGUGGGUAACCUGCCCAUAAGACUGGGAUAACUACGGGAAACCGGGGCUAACACCGGAUAACAUUUUGAACCGCAUGGUUCGAAAUUGAAAGGCGGCUUCGGCUGUCACUUAUGGAUGGACCCGCGUCGCAUUAGCUAGUUGGUGAGGUAACGGCUCACCAAGGCAACGAUGCGUAGCCGACCUGAGAGGGUGAUCGGCCACACUGGGACUGAGACACGGCCCAGACUCCUACGGGAGGCAGCAGUAGGGAAUCUUCCGCAAUGGACGAAAGUCUGACGGAGCAACGCCGCGUGAGUGAUGAAGGCUUUCGGGUCGUAAAACUCUGUUGUUAGGGAAGAACAAGUGCUAGUUGAAUAAGCUGGCACCUUGACGGUACCUAACCAGAAAGCCACGGCUAACUACGUGCCAGCAGCCGCAGUAA